GUGAACACAGGUGUCCUGUGUGCCCUGACCACGCCAUGUUCAGUUACUUAACCACAGCUCGCCCAGGGCGCCUUGGCUGGAAAUGGUGAUAUUUGCCAAAGAGUAAAGCCCCGGGGACAUCGUCCCCCUUCCCUGUAAGGAAGGCACACUGUGGAAUGGAGCCUUGUCUGAUCUUCGAAUCACCCAGAAGUGUGGUCUCCUUGUCCCCAAGGCUGUUUCCUGGAAGAGCCUCUUUCUGUUCCCCAUCACCGUGGAACUAUAAGGGUCCCUGGAGCAGUGGCAGCUGGGGCUUCCCUCUGCCAUGCCAUCCAGAUGCAGCACUCCUGUCUAAGAAAGUAGAAAUCGGGGACCUGAGAGACCAUCACGGAGCCUGCCUCUUCCUCCGCAGUGAGACUUCUUCCGUCCUGCAGCAGAGAGAAGUCUUGAGGGGACAUUCCAGGGGCCCCCCAUCAAGCCUGCAAGGGGGGAGCUCCAGGGAGAAUGGCUGGGCCCACUGCCCGCUCCAGUCGCCACAUCACAAAAUCCUUGACUGGACCCAGUAGUGGGUUUGGACAGGGUGGCAUUUAUCCUUGUUGGAUUAUAAGUGUUGCCUCUUCCCUCCCUCCAUUCUCCUUUCCUACUAAUGUCUUCGUACUCCAGUGGCUACACAUGAAUACAUUAUGAACUUCUCAAAGGCAGGGACUGUGUUUGAUCUGUAGGAAUUGACAUAGAUCCUUUGCUUGACCAAACUUUAGUCAGAUUCCUGGGCCUUCUCCUAGGCUCAUCUUUGCAUUUCCUUGUAAAAUCCAGUUUUAACAAGAACCCUGCUGAGUCCGUUGAGCAAGAACCCCCUACCAUUUGUACCUGAUCACCCUCGAUAUCUGAUCCAGCUCUUCCCUCUCCACCAUCCCCCGGGUGGGGUCUGCUCCCUCUGGCCUGUCUUCUGCAAGAAUCCUGUGAGGUCCAUUUGCUCCGGAUUCCCCAAAUCCCCCUUUCUCCUGAUGUUUCCUCUCAGGAAUUUUCCAUCCACUGCCCCUACCCUGAUCUUUGGCUGUCAGUUCCCCCUUGCCCGAACCGUAUUCAGAGCCGACCCAAUCUCCCCUCCCCACUGUAUAAGCCCGUCGCAGCAGUCCCUGUAGCUAUCCUGAUGGUCCUGAAUAGUCUUCCUUACCGCACUUUAACGACUACCUCGGAAUAAUUUUUCUUUAACAGUAUCUCUGCGGGGCCCCAAAGUGGUAUCUAGUAUAAGACCUUAGGUACAUGUUAAAUAUUUCUAGAAUGAUGAGA
rnacentral:lncRNA from 1 species